UACGUAGGGUGCAAGCGUUAAUCGGAAUUACUGGGCGUAAAGCGUGCGCAGGCGGCUAUGCAAGACAGAUGUGAAAUCCCCGGGCUCAACCUGGGAACUGCAUUUGUGACUGCAUAGCUAGAGUACGGUAGAGGGGGAUGGAAUUCCGCGUGUAGCAGUGAAAUGCGUAGAUAUGCGGAGGAACACCGAUGGCGAAGGCAAUCCCCUGGACCUGUACUGACGCUCAUGCACGAAAGCGUGGGGAGCAAAUAGG
rnacentral:rRNA from 1 species